CUCUGAGUUUGCAUUCCGUAUCCUCGGACUUUUACAAUAUUUAAGAUAGCCUAGGAAAAAACGUUGCUGACACCAUGGAUACUGACCUAUCAAAACAGCAGGAACACAGAACGUUGCUGCGAGAGCGCUUCCUUCGUGUGAUGGCCACCACAGUUGGACAAGAUGCCUUCAUCAAAAUGCAUGAGAAGACAAAUGUAUCAUGCAAGCUUGGUCCUGUUGACCUUGACAUCCAGCACAUCCAGGUCACUGACCUCCUGACCCCCAUGGGCACGGUUCCAAAUGCCAUUUUGCGGACCUCCGACAUGUUUGGUAUCCGUGUAGACAACCUAAAGCUUGACCAAUCAUGAUCAGACACCUUACAGACCAGCUGCUGUGAUGCAAGGAACUUUCAAGAUACAGCUGAAUGUACACCAGUGUAGGCUACAGUGAUGGUAUCUAGACCCGCUAUCCAGAUACAGCCAGAGUUAUAAUUACAGCAUGCGAGAUAUACAGUGAUGGAAUCUAGUACAAGAAAAUUGCAAUCAGUCAAAGUAAAAAUUAAAGGCAUGUGAGCUAUACAGAGAGAGUAUCAGCUAGUGGAAACAUAAUGCUGUCAGAUACAGCCAGAGUAACAUUGUUACAAUUACAGCAUGUGAGAUACAGAGAGAGUAUCAGCUAGUGGAAACAUAAUGCUGACAGAUACAGCCAGAGUAACAUUGUUACAAUUACAGCAUGUGAAAUACAGUGAUGAAAUCCAGUACAUUAAGAAACUUGCUCUCAGUCAAAGUAACAAUUAAAGGCAUGCGAGCUACCGAGUUUCAACUAAUGGUGUCAGAUAUACAGCCGGAGUAACAAUUCUAGUGAUUUAAGCUAUAGUGCCAGCAUCUAGUAAGGAGAAUGGCUAUGAGCCAAGUAAAGCAGUAAGUUACAAUAUCAGUAAACUAGUAGUUGUGUCAUUAGUGGAACACACUGCUAUCGGGUACAGCCGAAGUAACUGUCACAGUCGGGUGAGCUACAGUGAUUGAAUUUAGUACAACACACUUAAUACAUGUAUAAGAUAUGGUCGAUUUACACUGUCUAUAUUACAUUAGAGAGAGCCCAUCUCCUUCUGCUAUAUGGAAUGUUGGAAAUACAAUUUACGCAAGUUAAAUGUAUUUUAAGAAUCAAAA
rnacentral:lncRNA from 1 species